rnacentral:rRNA from 1 species
CUUGGUCAUUUAGAGGAAGUAAAAGUCGUAACAAGGUCUCCGUUGGUGAACCAGCGGAGGGAUCAUUACAGAGUUAUCCAACUCCCAAACCCAUGUGAACAUAUCUCUUUGUUGCCUCGGCGCAAGCUACCCGGGACCUCGCGCCCCGGGCGGCCCGCCGGCGGACAAACCAAACUCUGUUAUCUUCGUUGAUUAUCUGAGUGUCUUAUUUAAUAAGUCAAAACUUUCAACAACGGAUCUCUUGGUUCUGGCAUCGAUGAAGAACGCAGCGAAAUGCGAUAAGUAAUGUGAAUUGCAGAAUUCAGUGAAUCAUCGAAUCUUUGAACGCACAUUGCGCCCAUUAGUAUUCUAGUGGGCAUGCCUGUUCGAGCGUCAUUUCAACCCCUAAGCACAGCUUAUUGUUGGGCGUCUACGUCUGUAGUGCCUCAAAGACAUUGGCGGAGCGGCAGCAGUCCUCUGAGCGUAGUAAUUCUUUAUCUCGCUUCUGUUAGGCGCUGCCCCCCCGGCCGUAAAACCCCCAAUUUUUUCUGGUUGACCUCGGAUCAGGUAGGAAUACCCGCUGAACUUAAGCAUAUCAAUAAGCGGAG